UACGUAGGGUGCGAGCGUUAAUCGGAAUUACUGGGCGUAAAGCGUGCGCAGGCGGUCUGUUAAGACCGAUGUGAAAUCCCCGGGCUUAACUUGGGAACUGCAUUGGUGACUGGCAGGCUUUGAGUGUGGCAGAGGGAGGUAGAAUUCCACGUGUAGCAGUGAAAUGCGUAGAGAUGUGGAGGAAUACCGAUGGCGAAGGCAGCCUCCUGGGCCAACACUGACGCUCAUGCACGAAAGCGUGGGGAGCGAACAGG
rnacentral:rRNA from 1 species